GUGGGGAAUUUUGGACAAUGGGCGCAAGCCUGAUCCAACAAUGCCGCGUGCAGGAAGAAGGCCUUCGGGUUGUAAACUGCUUUUGUACGGAACGAAAAGGCUCUGGCUAAUACCUGGAGCUCAUGACGGUACCGUAAGAAUAAGCACCGGCUAACUACGUGCCAGCAGCCGCGGUAAUACGUAGGGUGCGAGCGUUAAUCGGAAUUACUGGGCGUAAAGCGUGCGCAGGCGGUGCUGUAAGACAGGCGUGAAAUCCCCGGGCUCAACCUGGGAAUUGCGCUUGUGACUGCAGCGCUGGAGUGCGGCAGAGGGGGAUGGAAUUCCGCGUGUAGCAGUGAAAUGCGUAGAUAUGCGGAGGAACACCGAUGGCGAAGGCAAUCCCCUGGGCCUGCACUGACGCUCAUGCACGAAAGCGUGGGGAGCAAACAGGAUUAGAUACCCCAGUAGUCC
rnacentral:rRNA from 1 species